GACAGAGGUGCCGAGCGUUAGGCGGAAUCACUGGGCUUAAAGCGUGUGUAGGCGGAUCGUUAAGUGCCUUGUGAAAUCCCACGGCUCAACCGUGGAACUGCUUGGCAUACUGGCGAUCUUGAGCCACUUAGGGGCUACCGGAACAAAUGGUGGAGCGGUGAAAUGCGUAGAUAUCAUUUGGAACGCCAAUGGUGAAGACAGGUAGCUGGGAGUGUGCUGACGCUGAGACACGAAAGCCAGGGGAGCAAACGGG
rnacentral:rRNA from 1 species